GAUGAACGCUAGCGGCAGGCCUAAUACAUGCAAGUCGAACGAUAUUAAGGGGCUUGCUCCUUAAGAAAGUGGCGCACGGGUGCGUAACGCGUAUGCAACCUACCUUAAUCAGGGGGAUAGCCCGAAGAAAUUCGGAUUAACACCGCAUAAAAACACAGGAUAGCAUUAUCCAAUGUUCAAAUAUUUAUAGGAUUAAGAUGGGCAUGCGUGUCAUUAGCUAGUUGGCGGGGUAACGGCCCACCAAGGCGACGAUGACUAGGGGAUCUGAGAGGAUGACCCCCCACACUGGUACUGAGACACGGACCAGACUCCUACGGGAGGCAGCAGUAAGGAAUAUUGGUCAAUGGAGGCAACUCUGAACCAGCCAUGCCGCGUGCAGGAAGACUGCCCUAUGGGUUGUAAACUGCUUUUAUCCGGGAAUAAACCUUUCUACGUGUAGGAAGCUGAAUGUACCGGAAGAAUAAGGAUCGGCUAACUCCGUGCCAGCCGCCGCGGUAAAAC
rnacentral:rRNA from 1 species